rnacentral:misc_RNA from 1 species
GACCAAGUUGGUAAUGCCAAUGCCCUGAAGAUACGAAUGAAGAUUCGUGUUAAAGAAUGCACUGAAACGUGUUUUCACCAAUUUGUAAUCACCUUCCUGAAUAACAAGCCCAUCAACCAGUUCUGCUCCCACACACCCCUUUGAUGUGGGUUUUGGUUUCCCAUCACCAUACAAAUGCCUACGAAACAAUUCAACAUCUCUUCCUAAUGGGUCAUGCUCGCGGACAACCCAAAUAAUGGGGAUUCCACGGUUUCGUGCAACCUCAACGGUUUUGAUAACGUUUGGAACAAUAGCUUCACCUCCUCUAACAAGCAUAGGAGCAUCUGGUAGUAUAAAAUCUUUCUGCAUAUCUAUGACAACAACAGCUGUUUUGCUCCAUUUAUCACCAUUUUCUGAGCCCAUUUGAUUAUCACAAACUCAGAAUUUUUGCCAGCAAUUUCG